ACCUACUAAACUCAGUGGUUAGAGUACUGCUUUCUGAUGGCGAGAGUCAUUGGUUCAUAUCUAAUAGUAUGUA
rnacentral:tRNA from 1 species